rnacentral:rRNA from 1 species
AUUUAAAGAAAGCGUAAUAGCUCACUGGUCGAGUCGGCCUGCGCGGAAGAUGUAACGGGGCUAAACCAUGCACCGAAGCUGCGGCAGCGAACGUAUCACUUAAAGCGAUUCAGCGGGUUACGAUUGACGGAGCGAAGCGACGUCAAAGCGUAUACAAAGUCGAGUCGGUUUAAGGAUACGUUCGUUGGGUAGGGGAGCGUUCUGUAAGCCUGCGAAGGUGGCCUGUGAGGGUUGCUGGAGGUAUCAGAAGUGCGAAUGCUGACAUAAGUAACGAUAAAGCGGGUGAAAAGCCCGCUCGCCGGAAGACCAAGGGUUCCUGUCCAACGUUAAUCGGGGCAGGGUGAGUCGACCCCUAAGGCGAGGCCGAAAGGCGUAGUCGAUGGGAAACGGGUUAAUAUUCCCGUACUUGGUGUUACUGCGAAGGGGGGACGGAGAAGGCUAUGUUGGCCGGGCGACGGUUGUCCCGGUUUAAGCGUGUAGGCUGGUUUUCCAGGCAAAUCCGGAAAAUCAAGGCUGAGGCGUGACGACGAGGCACUACGGUGCUGAAGCAACAAAUGCCCUGCUUCCAGGAAAAGCCUCUAAGCAUCAGGUAACACGAAAUCGUACCCCAAACCGACACAGGUGGUCAGGUAGAGAAUACCAAGGCGCUUGAGAGAACUCGGGUGAAGGAACUAGGCAAAAUGGUGCCGUAACUUCGGGAGAAGGCACGCUGACACGUAGGUGAAGUGAUUUACUCAUGGAGCUGAAGUCAGUCGAAGAUACCAGCUGGCUGCAACUGUUUAUUAAAAACACAGCACUGUGCAAACACGAAAGUGGACGUAUACGGUGUGACGCCUGCCCGGUGCCGGAAGGUUAAUUGAUGGGGUCAGCGCAAGCGAAGCUCCUGAUCGAAGCCCCGGUAAACGGCGGCCGUAACUAUAACGGUCCUAAGGUAGCGAAAUUCCUUGUCGGGUAAGUUCCGACCUGCACGAAUGGCGUAAUGAUGGCCAGGCUGUCUCCACCCGAGACUCAGUGAAAUUGAACUCGCUGUGAAGAUGCAGUGUACCCGCGGCAAGACGGAAAGACCCCGUGAACCUUUACUAUAGCUUGACACUGAACAUUGAGCCUUGAUGUGUAG